UACGGAGGGUGCAAGCGUUGUCCGGAUUUAUUGGGUUUAAAGGGUGCGUGGGCGGCCUAAUAAGUCAGUGGUGAAAGCCUCCAGCUUAACUGGAGAACUGCCAUUGAUACUGUUAGGCUUGAGUAUACUUGAGGUAGGCGGAAUUGACAGUGUAGCGGUGAAAUGCAUAGAUAUUGUCAAGAACACCAAUUGCGAAGGCAGCUUACUAAAUUAUAACUGACGCUGAGGCACGAAAGUGUGGGUAUCAAACAGG
rnacentral:rRNA from 1 species